GCAUCGGUAGUUCAAAGCGAGAAUGCUCGCCUGCCACGCGGGCUGCCCGGGUUCGAUUCUCGGCCGAUGCA
rnacentral:tRNA from 1 species